GAGAGACAUUCAUGGUUUGAAGCCGAUGGAAACAUGGCACCAUGUCAGAUUAUUUGCCCAGUAUGUGUUUUGUCUAAUCACGGUCUGCAAGGUGAAGGUAUGGUAUAUCACAGACCAGUAUGUGUUUUGUCUAAUCACGGUCUGCAAGGUGAAGGUAUGGUAUAUCACAGACCAGUAUGUGUUUUGUCUAAUCACGGUCUGCAAGGUGAAGGUAUGGUAUAUCACAGACCAGUAUGUGUUUUGUCUAAUCACGGUCUGCAAGGUGAAGGUAUGGUAUAUCACAGACCAGUAUGUGUUUUGUCUAAUCACGGUCUGCAAGGUGAAGGUAUGGUAUAUCACAGACCAGUAUGUGUUUUGUCUAAUCACGGUCUUGGUGCUGACGUUUUCCUUUACGGUGGGUGUUUCAUUCAAUUCCAGAGCAACUCUUGCAUCAGUAUUUCACAGUGCAACUCCACAUGUUAAAAC